rnacentral:rRNA from 1 species
UACGGGGGGGGCAAGCGUUGUUCGGAAUUACUGGGCGUAAAGGGCUCGUAGGCGGCCAACUAAGUCAUACGUGAAAUCCCUCGGCUUAACCGGGGAACUGCGUCUGAUACUGGAUGGCUUGAGUUCGGGAGAGGGAUGCGGAAUUCCAGGUGUAGCGGUGAAAUGCGUAGAUAUUCGCAAGAACACCAGUGGCGAAGGCGGCUCACUGGCCCGGUACUGGACGCUGAGGCACGAAAGCGUGGGGAGCAAACAGG